AAAUUGUAUUAAUUUGCUAUGUUACGCACUUGUAAGACGGAGAAAACCUAAAUGUAAUAUGUAUAUUGGAAAUUUAAAUUAGAUCUAUAUUAUCUAUAUAUUAAUCAAAGUCAAAAUCUGUUUGUUAUUCUGUCUAAAAUUCAAAAGGGGCUUAACUGAAUCGGUUUAUUUCGUUUUCGUUGUGUUCGUAAAAGGUUUGUACGUAAGAAAAUUCGAGAAAAACCCAACGGAAGAGUAGGAAAUACUUGUGAGCCUGUUCCACCGACACAACUUGCAAUUUUUAGCUUGGCACUUUUCCUUUUCAUUCCACAAUCGAGAAUUGUAUACUUUUCAAUUCAUGUACGAACGUUUUGUUAUUACGUUCCCACAAACACUUUUAAAUUUCUUAUCAUGUUAUCUGACAGCUGUUAUCUCUUUUGCAUUUUAUUUCAUUUACUGUUAAAUUGUCUUAUUCUGUGCUAUUAACAGCUGUUAUCAUCGUUUGAUACUCCGAUCGUCGUAAUAUCUUAAACUUAUUCGCAUUUUACCUACUCUGAAUUUUAAAUGUUCACGUUUUGGUAAAGUGACGAAGUACCUAAUUAAAAAACCAAAGUGAACUGGCAUUGUUAAACGCAAUCCGUGAAAGGAAAGGUGUGUUGCUCGGCAGUUUCAACUCCACAAACAACGUUGAAAAUGUGUUCACAUUAUUGCCCAAUAAUUUUAGCUCGUCUGUGCUGAUCGACCGUGGCAGUUUACCAGAGACAAGCUGUAUGGAUUGAAAUGAGUGACAAUAAAAUAGUUACCUAUGUUUAGUGUUUAUUGGAAAAGGAGGCGGUAAGAAGUGUCAGUACGAUGAAAUUGAUUUGAUGAUACCUGUCACUUGAUAAUAUUGGAAACGAUUCAGCACUAUUUUAAGGCAUUGGAUUGCCUGGAACUUCAACUAGGGCGAAGAUAUAUAAUACCAUUAAAAUGUUAUGGUUAUGAAGGCUUAGCUAAUAAGAAGAAGGUAGAAGCGGAAAUUGCCAACGACAAGCUUGACCUUAUACAAAUAGAAAUUUAUGUAAGGAAACUUAAGGUUUUAAAAUUAUAGAUGGAAUUCUGUAUUCCACCUUCAAAAUUCACUGAAGAUUUUUGUAAAAACCAAGUGGAGGAUCUCUAUUUCUAUGAAGUGGCUUAUGAUCCAGUAACAUUAAACUCUGUAAAAGAACGAUUAUCAUCCAAGAGCAUAAUAUACAUAAUUCACCGAAGUAAUAUUCAAUAUUAAAAGAAUAUAUUCAAGCUCUUUAUUGUAUUACCCUGUUGGUGAUCCAUAUCAUAAAAUGGCUCAGAAACAAGAAAUUUUUUAUUUGAAGUGCUCGCUUAAUGGGUACUACACUACCGAGAUGGUCAUAGUUCCAUAGUACUUCCAAAUAAUAAAAAUGCAUAAGUUUUAAGAAUUAUGAAAUUGUAUGGAAGUAAAUAUUUAGAAUGAUAAGGAAGCCUUAGUUUUUGUAUCUAAGUAUUUUUUAAAAUGUAUUAACUAUUAAUGUAAUUUACAUAUAUUAUAAUAUGCAUUUUUAUGCAGCUCAAUAUAAUUUAUCAAUGAUAAUGAUACCUGUAGCAAACCAGCGUAUUCUUCCCUCGCACGCAAUCGUCGUUCUUUAUCCAAACCUGAAAUGUAUUAAAAUGUUGACUGCCAUGCUGCUGCCGGCAUCUGCAGAGUACUAGGAUACAACAGUAUUUUUACAGACACCGGCGGUCGCACCUUAUUAUUAUUUAUACGCCAUAUGACCGCCCGCUUAACUUUUCCAUAACGCUACAAUAAUGCACUAAAAAAGUGUCGUGGCAUAGCGGAAAUCAUUAUAAUUUUUUUUCAAACAAUAUUAUAUACAAAUUUGUAAUGACACCUUAAAAUAUACUUAGUGUGCCAAUGAUACAUACUGUGUGACCGCCAGCGGGCGCAUGGCAGUCAACAUGUUAAUGGUCUAAUGUUUGGCACGAUUGACUUACCAACUCUCGUAUCACAAAUUAAUUGUAAAGUUCCUCUUCGCCAAAUCGGUUAACACAUUCCAUUUCACAUUCCUACAUCCUCUACAAAUUAUAUUAUGCUCAAUGAACCAUUUUGUAUAUUAAUGUGUGCAGUCCAAUUAGAACCCCUAUUCUGUAGUUUAAUAAAUUAUAUGUAAACACCAUUGUGUACCAUUUUUUUUUUUAUAUAGUUUAAUUGUAUUUAUAUCUACCGUUUAUAAAUCAAGUUUUACCUGUAAAACAA